UGCGCGGCAUGGUCGUGUCUCCUUGAGCACCAAAGGCGCAGAAAACAUAACUUGAAAUUGUGCGGGAUUACGGGCGCGGCUCUCUGCUCGUCCCUCCAUCCCCGGGUGUUGCACCCGGCAUGCGGGGCCGGUGUGCGUGGGCGUGUGCGUGGCUCCGGCUGCGCUGCGUUCCACCGCCGGCACCGUGCCGCAACAUACCGCGAGUGCGCAGGAUGUGACCCGAAAGAUGGUGAACUAUGCCUGAUCAGGUUGAAGUCAGGGGAAACCCUGAUGGAGGACCGAAGCAGUUCUGACGUGCAAAUCGAUUGUCAGAAUUGGGCAUAGGGGCGAAAGACCAAUCGAACCAUCUAGUAGCUGUUCCCCUUCCGAAA
rnacentral:rRNA from 1 species